UUUCAGAGGAGAGCGUGGAGUUUUUUGAGCGUAUGAAUGCCAUCCUGCAGAAACAGGAGAACAUGAUGCGGGCGGCCCAGGCGGAGUGCCAAAGAGGGGCCUGCACAGUUCCACCACCCCAAGAGCAUGUGGACCAGGCCUUUAUCCCCGACAGAAUCAGCAGGACAGAGCUGGACCUGCUUUAUGAGGAAGCUGUGUACACGGUGGUCAACAGGGUUGGAGUG